rnacentral:rRNA from 1 species
GACGAACGCUGGCGGCGUGCUUAACACAUGCAAGUCGAACGGUGAAGGGACCGGUUUUUGCUGGUUCUGGAUGAGUGGCGAACGGGUGAGUAACACGUGAGUAACCUGCCCCCUUCUUCUGGAUAACCGCAUGAAAGUGUGGCUAAUACGGGAUAUUCUGCGCCUGCUGCAUGGUGGGUGUGGGAAAGGUAUUGUUUCGGUGGGGGAUGGGCUCGCGGCCUAUCAGCUUGUUGGUGGGGUGAUGGCCUACCAAGGCGGUGACGGGUAGCCGGCCUGAGAGGGUGGACGGUCACACUGGGACUGAGACACGGCCCAGACUCCUACGGGAGGCAGCAGUGUGGAAUAGUGCACAGUGGGCGCAAGCCUGAAGCAGCGACGCCGCGUGAGGGAUGGAGGCCUGCGGGGUGUAAACCUCUUUCGCCAGUGAAGCAGGCCUGUCCCUUUUGUGGGUGGGUUGACGGUAGCUGGAUAAGAAGCGCCGGCUAACUACGUG